UACGCUAUGGCUGAGUUGGUCACAGCCUCAUGAACAUUCGGAAGGUCAAGAGUUCGACCCUCUCUGGGGUAG